rnacentral:rRNA from 1 species
UACGUAGGGUGCGAGCGUUGUCCGGAAUUAUUGGGCGUAAAGAGCUCGUAGGUGGUUUGUCGCGUUGUUCGUGAAAACUCACAGCUCAACUGUGGGCGUGCGGGCGAUACGGGCAGACUAGAGUACUGCAGGGGAGACUGGAAUUCCUGGUGUAGCGGUGGAAUGCGCAGAUAUCAGGAGGAACACCGGUGGCGAAGGCGGGUCUCUGGGCAGUAACUGACGCUGAGGAGCGAAAGCGUGGGGAGCGAGCAGG